ACUCAAAUGAAUUGACGGGGGCCCGCACAAGCGGUGGAUGAUGAGGUUUAAUUCGAUGCUACGCGAAGAACCUUACCGAGGCUUGACAUCCUGGGGAGGCCCUGGAAACAGGGCUGUGCCUUUUUGGAACCCAGUGACAGGUGUUGCAUGGCCGUCGUCAGCUCGUGUCGUGAGAUGUUGGGUUAAGUCCCGCAACGAGCGCAACCCCUCUCGUCUGUUGUAUUUUUCAGGCGAUACUGCCCGGGCCAACCGGGAGGAAGGUGGGGAUGACGUCAGGUCAGCAUGACCCUUACGCCUCGGGCUACACUCGUCAUACAAUGGCCGGUACAACGCGUCUGCCAACCCGCGAGGGGGAGCUAAUCGCAGCAAAACCGGUCUCAGUUCGGAUUGCAGGCUGCAACUCGCCUGCAUGAAGUCGGAAUCGCUAGUAACCGUGGGUCAGCAUACUACGGUGAAUACGUUCCCGGGCCUUGUACACACCGCCCGU
rnacentral:rRNA from 1 species